rnacentral:tRNA from 1 species
GAGCGUAUAGCUCAGUGGUAGAGCACAUGCUUAGCAUGCACGAGGUCCUGGUUCAAUCCCUAAUACCUCCA